UUGUUUAUUUGCAAUACACGACAACUCGAAAGCAAAACAAAAAUAAUUUUUCUAACAUAAGGGCAUACCCCCCAAAAAAAAGUUUAUAUGUAUGUGUAUAUUACAAAAGAAGACAACUGAGUAAAUACAAAUGUAUGAACAUAUAUACAUACACUCAUAUGAGAAACCUUACCGGCCAUGGAGGGCUAUCAGAAAAAGACGUCUAUGGAAAUCUACAGCCAAAACGCAAUUUUGUUUUGAAAAGCUCUGAAAAAAUAUUGUAACAUUAUUUAAGAGUUGUAUAAUAAAGAUCUUUCUACCAAA